CUCCCUCCGUCCCAAAAUUCUUGUCUUAGAUUUGUCUAGAUACGGAUGUAUCAAGUCACAUUUUAGUAUUAGAUACAUCUGUAUCUAGACAAAUCUAAGACAAGAAAUUUGGGACAGAGGGAGUAGUUG
rnacentral:pre_miRNA from 1 species